UACGGAGGGGACUAGCGUUGUUCGGAAUUACUGGGCGUAAAGCGCACGUAGGCGGAUUUGUAAGUCAGGGGUGACAUCCCGGGGCUCAACCUCGGAACUGCCUCUGAUACUGCAAAUCUCGCGUCCGGAAGAGGUGAGUGGAAUUCCUAGUGUAGAGGUGAAAUUCGUAGAUAUUAGGAAGAACACCAGUGGCGAAGGCGGCUCACUGGUCCGGUACUGACGCUGAGGUGCGAAAGCGUGGGGAGCAAACAGG
rnacentral:rRNA from 1 species